GUUGCUGGGCGUUGGUGGCGCAUGCCUU
rnacentral:piRNA from 1 species